AUUGAACGCUGACGGCAGGCCUAACACAUGCAAGUCGGGCUAGCGGCGGACGGGUGAGUCAUGUAUGGGGCACUGCCUGAUGGAGGGGGAUAACUACUGGAAACGGUAGCUAAUACCGCAUACCAUCAGAUGACCCCAUAUGGGAUUAGCUGGUAGGUGAGGUAACGGCUCACCUAGGCGACGAUCCCUAGCUGGUCUGAGAGGAUGAUCAGCCACACUGGGACUGAGACACGGCCCAGACUCCUACGGGAGGCAGCAGUGGGGAAUAUUGCACAAUGGGCGCAAGCCUGAUGCAGCCAUGCCGCGGGUAUGAAGAAGGCCUUCGGGUCGUAAAGUACUUUCAGUCGGGAGGCGUUACCGACAGAAGAAGCACCGGCUAACUCCGUGCCAGCAGCCGCGGUAAUUC
rnacentral:rRNA from 1 species